GGAGGAGAAGGUGGAGUAGAAGGAGGAAUAGGAGGAGUAGGAUUGAAUAAGGGGAGGAGGGAGGAGGAGGAGAAGGUGGAGUAGGAGGAGGGGAAGGUGGAGUGGGAGGGAGGAAUAGGAGGAGUGGAAGGUGAAGUAGAGGGAGGAGUAGGAGGAGGAGAAGGUGGAGUAGAGGAGAGGAGAAAGAGGAGGAGAAGGAGGAG